rnacentral:rRNA from 1 species
CCUACGGGAGGCAGCAGUGAGGAAUAUUGGUCAAUGGGCUUACGCCUGAACCAGCCAAGUCGCGUGAGGGAAGACUGCCCUAUGGGCUGUAAACCUCUUUUGCCAGGGAGCAACGCCGGCUACGUGUAGCCGGACUGAGAGUACCCGAAGAAAAAGCAUCGGCUAACUCCGUUCCAGCAGCCGCGGUAAUACGGUGGAUGCGAGCGUUAUCCGGAUUUAUUGGGUUUAAAGGGUGCGUAGGCGGGAUGCCAAGUCAGCGGUAAAAUCGCGGGGCUCAACCUCGCUCCGCCGUUGAAACUGGCGGUCUGGAGUGGGCGAGAGGUAUGCGGAAUGCGUGGUGUAGCGGUGAAAUGCGUAGAUAUCACGCAGAACUCCGGUUGCGAAGGCAGCAUACCGGCGCCCAACUGACGCUGAGGCACGAAAGCGUGGGUAGCGAACAGGAUUAGAUACCCGGGUAGUC